rnacentral:rRNA from 1 species
GAGUUUGAUCCUGGCUCAGAUUGAACGCUGGCGGCAUGCCUAACACAUGCAAGUCGAACGGUAACAGCGGGAGCUUGCUCCUGGCUGACGAGUGGCGGACGGGUGAGUAACGCGUAGGAAUCUGCCUGAUAGAUGGGGACAACUCAGGGAAACUUGAGCUAAUACCGAAUACGCCCUACGGGGGAAAGCGGGGGAUCUUCGGACCUCGCGCUAUCAGAUGAGCCUGCGUUGGAUUAGCUAGUUGGUGAGGUAAUGGCUCACCAAGGCGACGAUCCAUAGCUGGUCUGAGAGGACGAUCAGCCACACUGGGACUGAGACACGGCCCAGACUCCUACGGGAGGCAGCAGUGGGGAAUAUUGGACAAUGGGGGCAACCCUGAUCCAGCAAUGCCGCGUGUGUGAAGAAGGCCUGCGGGUUGUAAAGCACUUUCAGCAGCGAGGAAAAGCCUAGGGUUAAUAUCCAUGGGUCUUGACGUUAACUGCAGAAGAAGCACCGGCUAACUUCGUGCCAGCAGCCGCGGUAAUACGAAGGGUGCAAGCGUUAAUCGGAAUUACUGGGCGUAAAGCGCGCGUAGGCGGUAUUGUAAGUGGGAUGUGAAAGCCCCGGGCUCAACCUGGGAACUGCAUUCCAAACUGUCUAACUAGAGUAUGGUAGAGGGAAGUGGAAUUUCAGGUGUAGCGGUGAAAUGCGUAGAUAUCUGAAGGAACAUCAGUGGCGAAGGCGACUUCCUGGACCAAUACUGACGCUGAGGUGCGAAAGCGUGGGGUCAAACAGGAUUAGAUACCCUGGUAGUCCACGCCGUAAACGAUGUCAACUAGCCGUUGGGGGUAUUAAAACCUUUAGUGGCGCAGCUAACGCGAUAAGUUGACCGCCUGGGGAGUCGGCCGCAAGGCUAAAACUCAAAUGAAUUGACGGGGGCCCGCACAAGGGGUGGAGCAUGUGGUUUAAUUCGAUGCAACGCGAAGAACCUUACCAGCCCUUGACAUGUACGGAACUUUCUAGAGAUAGAUUGGUGCCUUCGGGAACCGUAACACAGGUGCUGCAUGGCUGUCGUCAGCUCGUGUCGUGAGAUGUUGGGUUAAGUCCCGCAACGAGCGCAACCCUUAUCAUUAGUUGCCAGCACGUAAGUUGGGGACUAUAAGGAGCCUGCCGGUGACAAACCGGAGGAAGGUGGGGAUGACGUCAAGUCAUCAUGGCCCUUAUGGGCUGGGCUACACACGUGCUACAAUGGUCGGUACAGAGGGUCGCAAACCUGCGAAGGUGAGCUAAUCCCACAAAGCCGAUCUUAGUCCGGAUCGGUGUCUGCAACUCGACUGCGUGAAGUCGGAAUCGCUAGUAAUCGCGGAACAGAAUGCCGCGGUGAAUACGUUCCCGGGCCUUGUACACACCGCCCGUCACACCAUGGGAGUGGGCUGCAAAAGAAGUGGGUAGCUUAACCUUCGGGAGGGCGCUCACCACUUUGUGGUUCAUGACUGGGGUGAAGUCGUAACAAGGUAACCAAGCCGAA